CAACUACUACCUCUGUCCCAAAUUUCUUGUCUUAGAUUUGUCUAGAUACGGAUGUAUCUAAUACUAAAAUGUGACUUGAUACAUCCAUAUCUAGACAAAUCUAAGACAAGAAUUUUGGGACGGAGGGAGUACUUU
rnacentral:pre_miRNA from 1 species